rnacentral:sRNA from 1 species
CUAGAGUGAAGCCAUCACAUCACGGCGGGAGAUUAAAGCCAUGUACUGGGAUGACGCGGUAAUCUUCGGACUGGUAACCGUCGGUAUGAUGAUCGCUUUCAUGGGUGGCUGGGUGGCUUUCAUCGUGCGCGACCAUAAGCGCAAGAACAAGCAUCGCCAUUGAGCCAGCCUCAUCGAGUCGUCAGGGGAGGGGGCACUGCCCCCGCUAGCCGGCCUUCGGGCCGGCAUUUUUAUU